rnacentral:rRNA from 1 species
GUACACGCUGUGACUAGCAUAUCAAUAAGCGGAGGAAAAGAAACUAACAAGGAUUCCCCUAGUAACGGCGAGUGAAGCGGGAAGAGCUCAAAUUUGAAAUCUUAAAGGGUUUCCCUUUACGAAUUGUAGUUUAAGAGAAGUGGUUUCUGUUGAGGUUUUGGUAAAAGUUCUUUGGAAUAGGACAUCAUAGAGGGUGAGAAUCCCGUAUUUGACCUUUACUUUCAACUUUGUGAUACACUUUCAAAGAGUCGGAUUGUUUGGGAAUGCAGUCCAAAAUGGGUGGUAAAUUUCAUCUAAAGCUAAAUAUUGGCGAGAGACCGAUAGCGAACAAGUACCGUGAGGGAAAGAUGAAAAGAACUUUGAAAAGAGAGUUAAACAGUACGUGAAAUUGUCAAAAGGGAAGCGUUUGACACCAGUGUUGUUUUUCUGAAAAUCAAUUAAAGAACUGUUUAUGCUAAGUUGUUUAGACUUUAUCAGCUAACUGUUUAGUUUUGAGCUUUUCUUUAAUGCACUUUUCAGUUAACAAGUCAACAUCAAUUUCUUCUGCUGUAAAAAAGCUUGAGGAAGGUGGCUUGAGAUUCGUCUUAAGUGUUUAUAGCCUCUUGCCUAUGCAGUCGGAGAGAUUGAGGUCUGCAGCGUAGAUCCUUCGGGGCUAAAUGCAUUUGUGCUAAGUUAUAACAUUUUAUAGACAACUUGUUGACUAUGAUUUGUCUUGUAGCUUACUCGCUUAUGUUAUUUUACCUACGCUUAGGAUGUUGACGCGCGUGUGUGCGUG